GACGAACGCUGGCGGCGUGCUUAACACAUGCAAGUCGAACGAUGAAGAAGAGAAACGCGAACUUCGGUUCAAAUUUCACUUCGGAUUAGUGGCAGACGGGUGAGUAACGCGUGAGCAACCUACCUCUUACAAAGGGAUAGCCUCGGGAAACCGUGAUUAAUACCAUAUGACACCUUCAUAAGGCAUCUUAAGACUGUUAAAGCUACGGCGGUAAGGGAUGGGCUCGCGUCCCAUUAGCUAGUUGGUGAGGUAACGGCCCACCAAGGCGACGAGGGGUAACCGGCCUGAGAGAGUGAACGGUCACAUUGGAACUGAGACGCAGUCCAGACUCCUACGGGAGGCAGCAGUGGGGAAUAUUGCACAAUGGAGGGAACUCUGAUGCAGCGACGCCGCGUGAGCGAUGAAGGAAUUAGUUUCGUAAAGCUCUGUUCUAUGGGAAGAAAAGGACUGUACCAUAGGAGAAAGCCCCGGCUAAAUACGUG
rnacentral:rRNA from 1 species